CCUACGGGUGGCAGCAGUGGGGGAUAUUGCACAAUGGGGGGAACCCUGAUGCAGCGACGCCGCGUGGGUGAAGAAGCGCCUCGGCGCGUAAAGCCCUGUCAGCAGGGAAGAAAAUGACGGUAUCUGUAGCAGAAGCGCCGGCUAACUACGUGCCAGCAGCCGCGGUAAUACGUAGGGGGCAAGCGUUAGCCGGAUUUACUGGGUGUAAAGGGGGCGCAGACGGCGGUGCAAGCCAGGGGUGAAAGCCGGGGGCCCAACCCCGGGACUGCUCUUGGAACUGCGUGGCUGGAGUGCAGGAGGGGCAGGCGGAAUUCCUGGUGUAGCGGUGAAAUGCGUAGAUAUCAGGAGGAACACCGGUGGCGAAGGCGGCCUGCUGGACUGCAACUGACGUUGAGGCCCGAAAGCGUGGGGAGCAAACAGGAUUAGAUACCCUGGUAGUC
rnacentral:rRNA from 1 species